rnacentral:rRNA from 1 species
CCUACGGGAGGCAGCAGUGAGGAAUAUUGGUCAAUGGACGCAAGUCUGAACCAGCCAUGCCGCGUGCAGGAAGACGGCUCUAUGAGUUGUAAACUGCUUUUGUACGAGAGUAAACGCAGAUACGCGUAUCUGUCUGAAAGUAUCGUACGAAUAAGGAUCGGCUAACUCCGUGCCAGCAGCCGCGGUAAUACGGAGGAUUCAAGCGUUAUCCGGAUUUAUUGGGUUUAAAGGGUGCGUAGGCGGUAGGAUAAGUUAGUGGUGAAAUCCUGCGGCUCAACUGCGGAAUUGCCGUUGAUACUGGUCGGCUAGAGAGCAGUAGCGGUAGGCGGAAUGUGUGGUGUAGCGGUGAAAUGCUUAGAGAUCAUACAGAACACCGAUUGCGAAGGCAGCUUACCAGGCUACAUCUGACGUUGAGGCACGAAAGCGUGGGGAGCAAACAGGAUUAGAUACCCCUGUAGUC